GAGAGAGAGAGAGAGAGACAGAGAGAGAGACCACCACCGUCGCCGCCGUGACGCCAUUUCCACCCGGAGAUCUAAAAGUUGGGAACUUGGGGUUAAGAUGGCGCCGGCGCCGGCGGUGGGGCUGAACAAGGGCCACUUUAUCACCAAGCGCGGAGCUUCCGCCUCGUCCUUCCGCCCUUAAAGGAGGAAGUUGCUGAAUUGGCACCACAUGAUCACUGAGCUUUUGUGGAUUUGUAAGGACUAGCAUGCUCUUAAGUUGGCUAAAAGAAAGCUCGGUCGCACACAAGAGCUAAGAAGAAGCGUGAGAAGAUGCCCAAUGUUCUUAGGAGGAUGAGGUACGCUUCUACUUUUCAUUCUUGUAUACUUCGAGAGAAUACUACCAAAAUUUGAAAGAGUUGCUUUUGUUGAUGGAGAUAAAGUUUUGUGUAUCAAAUCAUGUUGUGACCCAAACCAAUCAUCUAAGAGUUGCUCCAAGUUGAAAGCAAGGCAUCUUUUGACAAUAUCCUUGCACUACAAGGUUAAGAGCCGUAUUUAAAUUGAGCAAUGUGCCCACCAUUUAUCCAUUUUACUUUUAGAUGAAUGCUCAUUCGCGUGGGAGAAAUUAUGCUCAAAACAUAGUUCUUUUGCUGAAGUAUAGUGUAACCUAGUAAGUUAUUAGCAGGAAGCUCAACAGUUUAAGUCGAUAACUUAGCUAGUUUGUUUUAAAUUGUGCCAUAGAAGCUUUGCAAGUAAUCUAUUUCAAGGCUUUAUGGUCAGUUUCAAGUACACAGGACUAUCCUAGUACUAUCAGUUCUUUCCCACUAGUUGAUUUAGUUUAAGUGUUUUUUCUUUGCAUGACUUAAAAUCAUUUCCCUUGUUUGUUGCACCACCCUUUCAUUUUCCAACAACACAACCGCACAACCAUGCCUCUCCAUUUCAUUCUAUAUGGUGUAGGGCGUUUUUAUUGUUUAUUUCUUGCUGUAUAUCUCUUUACAGGAUGCCAUAUUGAUCCUUGUUUAUUAGAUUCAGAUGAAAAUGAUAUAUGGUAUGGUGCCAAAUGCAGUCAUAUUUAUUAUGGUUGCUUCAGAUUGAGAAUAUUAUGCAUUUUAGCUGCGAAAUAGUAGAACAAUGUCAAGUAUCUAACGGCAGUCCAUAACAGAGCAGAUCAUAUGUAAUUGUGGAAGCAAUUAUCAAGCACAGAACAAAAAAGGAUCGACUAGGCACCAGAUACCUUUCAUUCAGUUGAAUGCAUCAUUGUGUACAAAGAAAAGUGAGUCUGGGAACAAAUAAUUAGAGUAUAAAAAGGUUCCCUAACCAGCUACUGUCAAUUGUUGUCAUACGUUUCACCACAAAUGGAGGCUUCGGUCAUGAGUUGUGUACGUAUUGGUUCAUGACAUCACAUAAUCCACGCAAUCUAUGUCAUUAUCUACUCGAUCUGGCAAUCCAUCACAGGAACCACUGUUGCACCAGAUGUUGAUGGGGGCUAUCACAACUAUCUGGAGGGAUGCUUUUGCAUUCUGGAGGAUAUGGAUGAACUGAAAGGCGGAACUACUUUGGAACACUGUUCAGCUGAAUUAUUCCAGUCCAAAUCUGGUAGCAGUAGUUCUACUCUUGAUUGAGUUUCAUAAAGUUGUUAGCAACUUAAAUUUAAAUCACUGAACUAGUAGUGCAGUACAGCAGUUACUUGAUUCAUCAUUUUGCUCGAUGUGGUGUUCUUUGUGUUUAUAAUUAUUACAGUGCUGCUAACUACUUCUGAUCUUGUCUUCAGAUCUGCGAAGUGAAGCGGCGCAACUUGCUAGAAGUGCUGCCUGUGUUGAGAAUUGACUACUCAGUUCUGAUAGACAUAAUUUUACAGGACGUAUCUUGUGAAGGAAAUCGAGCUUGCACAUGGAUACUCAUUUGACUGAAAGUAGACAAUAGAAGGUCUUGAUUCCUUGUUAUAAAGUUCUGUCAGUGUUCUGGUUGUUUAUUUUCUCAGUUUUAUGAAUCACUUGAAUAUGCUGAUAGUCUGUGUUUUGUGAGGGACUAGGCAGCUGGAGCAAUCUAUAUCUUGGUGAUGUAGUAUCUAAUAUGAGUUGUGUCUUGUUCCAUCAGUUGCUUUUUCAGAGAAAUAUAUGUUUCCACUGCUCUGAAGGCAUCAUAGGAUUCUGAAUAUUCUGAGACAAACUGAUAUUCUGACGUCUAUUAUUUUGCUAAAUCA